rnacentral:tRNA from 1 species
GGUCCCGUAGCUCAUCAGGAUAGAGCGACAGAUUCCUAAUCUGUAGGUAGUAGGUUCGAGUCCUACCGGGAUCACCA